CACCAAUCCACUUUCUGUGUCUAAGUUCCCCAGUGUGGGGCUUUGGUGUCUUGAGCAUUGUGUCCUUAAGGUCCCCCAACAUUGUGUGGUUAUCAGAGGGUUGCAUGUUUUUAUCAGAGCGGUGCUCCUGUUUAUGGCUGCAUAAUACUUCAUGAAGUGAACGCUGGGAGCUGGCCUUUCCCACUUUUGCCUGUUGUGAAUCUCUGUGUGAGCACACAGGCAGGGUUGAGCCUCCCAGGACCCUGGCCCUCCCAAGGUCAGGCAGAGAGUGUAAGGGGAUCCCUGAGUCAUUCACUAAGGGAGAUGUAUCUUAUUGAAGUCUGCUGUUAUUUUAGUACAUUUGUUGUUGUUUUUGUCGUUGAUGUUAUUUCAUAGACCCAUGUAGCCCAGGCUGACCUAAAAUUCCCCACAUAGCUUAGGCUAUCCCUGAGCUCUGAUCCUCCAGCCUGUGUAUUUUCAUUACUAAGACCACACAUGUGAACAUGACUAGGGAGGACAGGAAGGUAGGGUGACCCUUGAAGAAUUUCUGACCUUGCAGUGUUCCCAUGAAGCUUUGGGAGCCUGCCAAGACCUCCUUAGGACACUGUCAGCUUCGAAGACAGCACCAGUGAGCACUUCCUGCUCUGGCCAAGGGUCACAGCCUGUCCAGCUGCCCGUGUGACCUGGACUGUGUGUGCCCUGCACCUCCCUGUCAGGGGUCAGAACAGGAGUAGGGUACAGGGCUCGGGCUCAGGGACUAGAGGCUGAAGUCUCUCCCAUGUGAAUGCUUUGACUCUCAGGUCCUUAGGACAUGCUACAAAGGGAAGACAGGCAGGACUGGCUAUCCAGGCUCUCUGAGGGCUAAGAGCGCAGGAUGUGAGUCCCAGUGAGCUCCAAAGUAAGACUUUGUCUCCCCUGUGGUGGUGCGCACACCUUUAAUGUCAGCACUCAGGAGGCAGAGACAGGAGGAUGGCUGCAAGUUCGAGGCAGCCUGAUCUACAGAAGAGAGUUCCGGGACAGCCAGGGCUACACAGAGAAACCCUGCCUCAAAAAAAAUAAAUAAAUAAAUAAAUAAAAGACUGUUUCAAAAAGUAAAGAGAUGGCUCAGUGGUUAUAAGCGCUAUCCUGAGUUCAAUUCCCUGCAAGCACAUGGUUGCUCACAACCAUCCAGAAGGGGAUCUGAUGCCCUCCUCUGCCAUGCAGGCAUACGUGCAAACAAAGUCUCAUAUACAUAAAUAAGGGAAUCUUUAAAAAAAUAUAAAGUAGAAAGAGGGCUGGGGUGUGGUCAGUGUGAGUCCCGCCUAGAAUCUCCUCCUCCCCUGUGAGGGUCUGGAGGCGUGGUCAGCAGUACUGUGUGUCCUAAUGCAAGGUCCCAGUCAUCUCCUGGGUCCGUAAAAGUGUCCCUUUCCCUUUCUUCAUUGUUUUGGAUUUCAAGGUGCUGUGGUUGGAGCCCAGUGCCUCACCUCCUGCACUAGGCAGCAGUCACUAUGAAGCCACAUCACAGCUCCAAGACACCUUUUCCUAUUUGCAUGGCCCAGGCCCCAAGGGAGCUGUGAGAUUUGUCUCGAAGGCUUGGUUUCUGUCUGGCUAGGGCGCCCACAAACACCUGCUUCUAAACUGUAAACCUGAGUCAGGACAGGACAGAAACUCAGCCUGUCCCCAGCCCUGUGGCCAAAGAGGGAGCCUGAGAGUCCACCUAGCCCUCCAUCCAGGGACCUCUUGGUCCUCCUGCCACACAGGACCUUGCAGAAGGCGGGGCACCUCUGUCCUGAAGUCUCCCCAAAGGCUCCCCAGCCCUCCUGAGCCCAUGCAUGGCCAGACAGCAGACUGGGGAGGGAUGACAGGGCUGACUUCAGGGGAGAGGAAUUCCGCCCAGCCAGUGUCUAGACUGUGGGACGCAGGCUGCAGGGACCCGGCGGGAGCAAGGCCAGCGGCGGGAUGUGCUGCCACCUGGUGGCCACACCACGCACAACCUUCAGAUUCAACACUGAUCUCUGUCAGGGGUCCCAGGCUGUACGGAGCCCACGGAGAGUAUCAAAAGAGGAAAACCUAUAUGUAUUUCACAAUUUAAUGAUGCAACUGAUGAACGAAAUUUUGGGGUCGCUGCUCCGUGGGUGGAGCCCGGGCUCGUCCAGAGCGCAAGAAGCCCUGAGUUCCACCCCCAGCAUUGCAAAAACCAGGAGUGGCAGGUCACACGCCUGUCAUCUUAGCAUCCCAGAUCCUCAGGCAGGAGGAUAAGGAGUUCAAGCUUAGCAGGAUGCUGAGCCCAGUCUCUGAUGCUUACCCGUUCCGUGCAAAGAGCUCCUGAAUGGGACAACCACAUGUGUCCCCAGACAUCACCCACAGUCCCCACAAAACUGAAUUAACCCUUUAGCCAGAGGAUUCCAUUACUUUAAGGGAAUCUGUGGCCCACAGUCACCUAAUCUAGCUCCUGAGGAUCAAGCCACACUUCUCUGUGAAGGACUGGUCAGGACCACACCUGCCCCUCUGAGAUCUCAGAACCCCGGGUCUGCAAACCAAGGCCUGUCUGUCUUUCUUCUUCUUCUUCUUCUUCUUCUUCUUCUUCUUCUUCUUCUUCUUCUUCUUCUUCUUCUUCUUCUUCUUCUUCUUCUUCUUCUUCUUCUUCUCCUCCUCCUCCUCCUCCUCCUCCUCCUCCUCCUCCUCUUCCUCCUCCUCCUCCUCCUCCUUCCUCUUCUUCUUGGAGCUGGGGACCGAACCCAGGGCCUUGCGCUGGCUAGGCAAGCACUCUACGGCUGAGCUAAAUCCCCAACUCCCUCCUCCUCCUCCUCUUCCUCCUCCUCCUUUUCUUCUUCCUCUUUUUUUUUUUUUUUUUUUUCUGGUUUCUUGAGCCAGUAUGUUCCUGGCUGUUCUGGAAUCGCUUUGUAGACCAGGCUGGACUUGAACUCAGAUGACUGCCUCCUUCUGCUUCCCAAGUGUGCUGGUACUAAAGGCUAGUACCACUACUGCCCAGUUCUGUUCGUGCACUGAUACAGGGUCUCAUGUAGCUGAGGCUACCCCUCCUGCCUCCAAACUCCCAACUGCUGGGACAACAAGUGUGUCUGUCCUACUAUAUCCAGUUUUCACGGCUCUGGAGACAGAAACCAGGGCCUUGGGCGUGCUGCGGGGCACUCUGCCCACUGACAUGGAGGAGGACAGAUACCAGGAGUCAGGCUUGGGGUUAUCUAAAGUUAAGUUUCAGAAGGAAAUCUGCCGUGUACACAACCAGCUGCAAUAGGGGAGCCCUGGACCCCUUGCUCAGCCCUGGGCUCCCAUGUGACUGUCCACACAGACUAAGAAGUCCAGCUGCCGUGGGACCUCUGUCCACCCGGCUCUCUUUUGACACAGGGUCUCAUGUAGCCCAGGCUGGAUUUGAACUCCCCAUUCAGCCCAGGAUAACUCUGAGCUGACCUCCCUAGUGCUCUGAUUCCUGUGGAGAUGGGGGUGAAGCCCAGGUCCCCUGCCUGCCUGGCAGGUGCUCUGCCCUCCGAGUCCCACCCACAUCCCUCUAAUUUGCAUCAUUUUCUCAAUUAUCUUUUUUUUUUUUUGACAUCCUGUUGAUCUGGUGGCUUGAGUAAUUCCCACAGUUGACACUGUCCUGAUGUGGGCUGAGGUUGGCUCAGGUCUGUGGUCACAGAGCAUCACAGAAGAGGAGGUGAGGAUACACCAGGCACAGGGACAGGAUGGGGGUGAUGUUCUGUAGGAACCGUGCCCAGAGGUUGGGUUUCAUUUUCUUUUUUUUUUCCCUCCCCACCCCUCAUUUUCUUAAAAUCAUUUAUUGAUCUUUAAUUCCACACAUCAUAAAGUGGACUCGCAGUGGGUAAUGUCACUUAACGGAAUUGAACCCACUUCUCCCAAGACAGUUCAGGCUGGUCUUCCCAAUACUCAGGAAUCAGAGGCAGGAGUUCAACUUCAUCUGUGCCUCGGAGGGGGUGUGGGGGGCGAUGGAUUCUGGGAGGGGAGCCGAGCGCCGGGCUGUGGCUGGGAGGGUGACUGGGUCCCUGGUUACACGUGCAUCCGAGGCUUCACACCCCAGGUGCAGCUACUGAAGUGUGCAGUUCGCCGCUCUUCACACAGCUGCGGGGGCGGCGGGGGUGGCAGGCGGCAGCUUGGUCUACCGAUGUGUUCUCAGGCUCAGCCACUCCCACACAGGGUCCAAUGCCCGGGGACGCAGGUAUUGAGAUGAGCCAGGAGUGGUGAUCAGCAAGGGCCCUGGGAACGGGCUUACACUGGCGUCUCCAUAGCAACGUGGUUCCCGGAAACCAGAAACCAGAGCCUAAAGUGUCCAUCAACAGACAUAGUCCAUCCCCUCCGGACUCCUUGGUCAUGAGAAAAAAGUCACACGACACUUGUUCGUGGAGGGAUUUCAAGGCUCAGUGGCAGGAGCCGGACACACAGCAACACACCUGGGAUCCACUCCCAGGAUGCCGCGGGAGCCCUGGGACGCAGAGACAGGACCGGGGAGAAGAACUGGCCUGCGAGAGGAGGGCGGAGCUUCAGUCUGGGAAUGUGGGCAGAGAGUAUCGUCUUGGAGAAUGAGGUCUGUUGGAAGGGACAUGAGAAGACACCCAGCAGCGACACGGAGACACACCCUCAGCCCUGCAUCCUCCAGACCGGAUCUAGGGAGCAUCCCCAGGGUGGUCACCCAGGCCGCAGCAUCACGGACUUCCACCCACUCCGCACCUAGGGUAACAGACACGCGUGUCCCCGACAUCUCAAGGUCCCGUCGUGGAGACUGAGCAGGAACAGCCAUGAGGAGGUGACCGUGAGAAAACUUACAUACACAUGUUCACGCACAGCCAUGCGCAUAUAUUGGCCAAGUGCAUGCAAUGCCCUCAAAGUCCAGAAGGGGCAUCAGAGCCCCGGGGAAUGACGUCACAGACGUUAGGGAUCCUUGUCGGUGCCAGAUACCAAACUUCAGGUCAGAAGCAAAAACAUAUGUUUUUAAAUCCUGCCCAUUGCCACCAGUCCCAGUCAGACCCAUUAAAAUUUUUUAAGUACA